rnacentral:rRNA from 1 species
GCGGUAAGGCUUUCACAAUUUGCUGGAAACGGAGACAGGACGCGGCUACUUUUGAAAAAAGUAGGCCGCAUCAAUCACGAAGUGAUGAACUGGCUCCGACUUAAAAUCAAGCAAAUUGUGAAAGUACACGAGCGGCGGACGGCUGAGUAACACGUAGGAACGUACCCCAUAGUGAGGGAUAAGCACCGGAAACGGUGUCUAAUACCGCAUAAUCUCUUAGGAGUAAAGCUACGGCGCUUUGGGAGCGGCCUGCGUCCGAUUAGGUUGUUGGUGAGGUAAAGGCUCACCAAGCCGACGAUCGGUAGCUGGUCUGAGAGGAUGAUCAGCCAGAUUGGGACUGAGACACGGCCCUGACUCCUACGGGAGGCAGCAGUUAGGAAUAUUGCGCAAUGGACGAAAGUCUGACGCAGCAACGCCGCGUGCAGGAGGAAGGCCUUCGGGUUGUAAACUGCUUUUACAAGUGACGAUUUUGACGGUAGCUUGUGAAUAAGGGUCUGCUAACUACGUGCCAGCAGCCGCGGUCAAACGUAGGACCCAAGCGUUAUCCGGAAUUACUGGGCGUAAAGAGUUGCGUAGGUGGCUUGUCAAGCAGGUAAUGAAAGCGUGUGGCUCAACCAUACAGCUAUUAUCUGAACUGACAGGCUUGAGCAUAGUAGAGGUAGCUGGAAUUUCUAGUGUAGGAGUGAAAUCCGUAGAUAUUAGAAGGAACACCGAUGGCGUAGGCAGGCUACUGGGCUAUUGCUGACACUAAGGCACGAAAGCGUGGGGAGCGAACGGGAUUAGAUACCCCGGUAGUCCACGCCGUAAACUAUGGAUGCUAGCUGUUAUAGGUAUC